AAAUGGCAGCCAUAACUUUAAGUGGAUUGGUACAUUGUGGAUUUCUAGACAUGGACAAAGAUAUGCUGGAACACUUUGAAGUUCUGAGUAAGAACAAGGUGAAGAAGCGUAAGUUGGCGGACACGAUGCCUCUGGAGGCCCUAAUAAAGCGUCACGCUGGUGUCCUGGGUCUCAUACUUUAGUGGAAGCUUAUCCUUAUAAUGUACCCGAGUUCAUGCCACAGAUCCUAAUGGACCUUAGUAACCAUGUAAACGAUCCUCAACCAAUACAGAUGAUUGUGAAGAAAACUCUAUCAAACUUCCGUAGAACACACCACGACAAUUGGCAUGAUCACAAACAAAUAUUUACAGACGAUCAACUUGUCAUAUUAACUGAUAUUCUAGUGUCCCCUACUUACUACGCUUGACAACGGAUCGGCUCCUAGAAAUAUUACAAACCAAGGUGUAAGGACCGAAUUAGGAACAGCUCAGUCAUGGUAGAACAGACCAGAGUUAUCUCCCCCAGAAACAGGGUCGCAGAAGUCAUCAGUGCCCAUCGCAUUUCAAGGAUUUCGUUAGACAUAAUCAGUGAUUUCAUUAUUCCUCCUCCCAUAUAGUUUGAGCAUUUCAGUUAUGUUUUAGUGUUUUUUCAUACAAUGUAUUUGAUGUGUAUCAUGAAUACAAUAUUUAUUUGCAUUUUGUUAAGGUAAUCAAGUAAACACAUGAAGUCUGAUCAGUUUUAUGGAUUAAGCAGCCAAAGUUGGUUAUUAUACUAAAAAGGAUUUCGUAUUAAAAAAAAUUGUGCUUUGGCCGAAGUUGGUUAUAUGAAAAUGUAGCUUUGUACAAAUCUUAGUUGGUUCAAGGGAAAUAAUUUAGAUAUCUAAUUUUGAGAUUGCUAACAGAGAUUUGUUGUGAGCUUUUUUUUAAUCUGCAUUUUCUAAACCUCAAAAAACUCUUGCAUAAAUGAAGACAAUUUUUGAUUGAUUGAUACUACACUGUAUCACUUAAGAUAUGUAGGUACAGUUACAUGUAUUUAUUUUCAGAAAUAGUAAGGUGUUUUAAAACUAACCUUUUCAAAUAAAAUAUUUUAUAUAGAGAGUAACUGUUAAGGAUGCAGUGCCAAAGUCAUUAGUCAUUUGAUGAAAGGCAUCACAUUAAAUCUGUCAGGGAAAAAUGUUCUUCAAGUCAACAUAAGCAUUUCCCUAGACUUCAAGGUGUAAAACUAGUACAGCCACAGUGUUUUGGGGUAAAUAUGAAUUUAGGUUUGCAUAUCAUUGCAUUUAAUUGUUCAGCAUCCACGUAACUACAUAUUAGUGUAUAAGCAUGUACAAUUACUGAAGUUUUUAA